UACGGAGGGUGCAAGCAUUAAUCGGAUUUAUUGGGCGUAAAGAGCUCGUAGGCGGUUGAGUAAGUCGGGUGUGAAAACUCUGGGCUUAACCCAGAGCCGCCACUCGAUACUGCUCUGACUUGAGUUCGGUAGGGGAGCAGGGAAUUCCUAGUGUAGCGGUGAAAUGCGCAGAUAUUAGGAGGAACACCGGUGGCGAAGGCGCUGCUCUGGGCCGAAACUGACGCUGAGGAGCGAAAGCGUGGGUAGCAAACAGG
rnacentral:rRNA from 1 species